rnacentral:rRNA from 1 species
GUGGGGAAUAUUGGACAAUGGGCGCAAGCCUGAUCCAGCCAUGCCGCGUGAGUGAUGAAGGCCUUAGGGUUGUAAAGCUCUUUCAGUGGGGACGAUAAUGACGGUACCCACAGAAGAAGCCCCGGCUAACUUCGUGCCAGCAGCCGCGGUAAUACGAAGGGGGCUAGCGUUGUACGGAUUUACUGGGCGUAAAGCGCACGUAGGCGGAUCGUUAAGUCGGGGGUGAAAUCCUGGAGCUCAACUCCAGAACUGCCUUCGAUACUGGCGAUCUUGAGUCCGGAAGAGGUGAGUGGAACUCCUAGUGUAGAGGUGGAAUUCGUAGAUAUUAGGAAGAACACCAGUGGCGAAGGCGGCUCACUGGUCCGGUACUGACGCUGAGGUGCGAAAGCGUGGGGAGCAAACAGGAUUAGAAACCCGUGUAGUCC